rnacentral:rRNA from 1 species
GAAGAGUAAUUUAAGGGUGUAUGGUGAAUGCCUUGACAUUAUGAGACGAUGAAGGACGUAGCAGCCUGCGAUAAGCCUCGCUUAGGUGGCAAGCAACCUUUGACGCGGGGAUUUCCGAAUGGGGAAACCUAUCCUGAUGAAGUCAGGAUGACCUAGCAUUUAUGUUAGGUGGAGUACCCGGGGAACUGAAACAUCUUAGUACCCGGAGGAAAAGAAAAAAAUAAAACAGAUUUUACACAGAUUACAAACGGAUUAACGCAGAUAUUUAUUUGCGCGUAUCUGUAAAUAACUGUGUAAAGUCUGUGCAAUUCCGUCAGUAGUGGCGAGCGAACGCGGAGAAGCCUAAACUUUAGAAACUGCACUUUUUGUCCCGAGCAAUCGGGAUGAUUAGGAAAGGAUCCAGGUCCACAUGUUUUUAGAGCGUUGUAAGAUAUAUGCGUUUGCCCCCUGGAACGGGCGAGGUAGAGACAAAAAAUAUAACUUCCCUAGGAGAACGGUCUGGAAAGGCCGGCCAAAGACGGUGACAGCCCGGUACGCGAAAGGGGUUAGAACUCUACGGUGUAUGUUCUUAAGUAGGGCGGAACUCGAGAAAUUCCGUCUGAAGCCGGAGCGACUAUGCUCCAAGGCUAAAUACUCAUAAUGAUCGAUAGUGAACGAGUACCGUGAGGGAAAGGUGAAAAGCAUCCCGGGAGGGAGGUGAAAUAGUACCUGAAACCAUACACUUACAAGGAAUCAGAGUCCCGCACUUUCUGCGCAUCUUUAUUACAUUUAAAUCAUCUUUGGAAGACGAAGUCGCUUCGCUCUGUAACGGUGAUUCAAAUCAUGUAAGGUGAAUGGAAAGUGCGGGAUGAUGGUGUGCCUAUUGAAGAAUGAGCCAACGAGUUUGUUCUAUGUGGCUUACAUAAACUCCGUUUGGAGAAUAUGUGUAGUGAAAGCGAGGGUGAAUAGCCCGUAUCUUACUUUUUAGAUAGGAGAUGCCUUUAAGUCUUCUAUCUAAAUUGUAAGAAUGUCGCAUGGACAAAACCCGAAGCCGGGUGAUCUAGCCAUAGCCAGGUUGAAUGCCGUCGAAAGACGGCAGGAGGACCGAACCCACAAGCCGUGCAACACUUGGGGAUGAGCUGUGGUUAGGGGAGAAAUUCCAAUCGAACUCGGCAAUAGCUGGUUCUCCUCGAAAUAGCUUUAGGGCUAGCCUCGGAUACUGACGCUUGGGGGUAGAGCACUGAUUAAGGGCGGGUCGCAAGAUACCGUCUUUAGACAAACUCCGAAUACCAAGCGGUGCAAUCCGGGAGUAAGACUAUGGGGGCUAAGCUCCAUCAGUCAAAAGGGAAACAGCCCAGAUCACCAACUAAGGUCCCAAAAUCCAUGUUCAGUGUGAAAGGUGGUGUCGCGACUGCGACAACUAGGAGGUUGGCUUAGAAGCAGCCAUCCUUUAAAGAUAGCGUAAUAGCUCACUAGUCAAGUUGCCGCGCGCCGAAAAUGUAACGGGGCUAAACAUGGUACCGAAGUUGUGAGUCUCGCAGCAAUGCGGGGCGGUAGAGGAGCAUUCCCUGUUCGCUGAAGUUUCGCUGUGAGGCGGAAUGGAGAACAGGGAAGAGAGAAUGUUGGCAUGAGUAGCAUAAAGGCGGGUGAGAACCCCGCCCACCGAAAGCCUCAGGGUUCCUGGGCAACGUAAAUCGGCCCAGGGUUAGUCGGUCCUAAGGUGAGUCCCGUGUAGUGCGGGGGUAGCCGAUGGAUAGCGCCGUUAAUAUUCGGCGACUGCGUAUGUAUUUCAAUGGAGUGACGCAUCGUUAAAAGUUUGAGCGUUCUAUGGUAUGAGCGUUGUUGCUUUUGUUUUGGUCGUCCCAGGAAAAUCCGGGACACCUAUAACCAAAACAGAAAUGACAAAAGCUGAGCACUUUGUGCAAGGCGAUUCAAGCGGCGGCGGUGCCAAGAAAACCUUCUAGAGCCAAUGCAUACGCAACCGUACCGUAAACCGACACAGGUAGGCGAGGCGAGAAGCCUCAGGUGCACGAGAGAACCUUCGUUUAGGAACUCGGCAAAACAGCGGUCGUAAUCUAGAGAUAAGGCCUCCCGCUCAGCGCGCAAGCGCUUGAGCGGGCGCAGCUAACGACCCCAAGCAACUGUUUAUCAAAAACACAGCUCCCUGCAAACUCGUAAGAGGAAGUAUAGGGGGUGACGCCUGGCCAGUGUCUGAACGUUAAGGGGAGAGGUCAUUUCCGAUUUAUCGGGGAGAAGCCUUGAACCGAAGCGCAGAUGAACGCCGGCGAUAACUAUAGACGCGAUUGUAGUUAUAAAAUUUGGCUAUAUGCUGGAAACUCCGGAGUAAACAACGUACUCGUCCGAGCAAGGGCAGUAAAAAUCGUUUUUUGUGCUCCGACAUGACGUCGGAGUGCCGGACAAUCAGCAGGAAAGACUCUUAAUAGUAAGACUAUGAGCGAUACCAAAUGGUUACGUAAGAUUCCCUUGGAAUGGGGACAUUAUUUGGCGGGAUUUACGGAUGGGGAAGGAAGUUUUAACAUUUCUCUUCGUAAAAGAGAAGAUCAUACGAUUCAAUGGCAGGUCGUCUUAACGUUUAAUGUUUCCCAAAAAGAAUCUUACAUCCUUUCACAAUUCAAGAGAUAUUUAGGUUGUGGAAGGAUACAACAAAGAAGGGAUGGAUUGCACAUAUAUGUGUGUUCUAAUCCAACGUCAAUUCGAGAGCGCAUUAUUCCGUUUUUUCGGAAAUUUAAAUUACGCUCCCAAUUGAAGAAAAAAAAUUUUUUUAUUUUUUGCCAGAUUGUUGAAAAGGUAUUCAACAAAGAACAUUUAACCCCGCCAGGUUUGAAGGAAAUUAUCACGUUGCGGGAGGUUUUAAAUGAAGGUAGAGGCAGAAAAAGAAAAUAUCAGCUCAGUGAUUUUAACCAAUCACAAAAAGAGAAUCCUCAGAGACUAUACGCCAAACCGCGAAAAUUUAGAAAAGAAUUUUCGUCGGAUGAUAUAGUCCGAUCUCAUGGGCAACCAUGAGCUUCAGAUACAUUACUUCUGAAGAUUUUAUUCCGUUUUAGGGAUAAAAGUAACAGAGAUAAAUCGUCCUAAGGUAGCGAAAUUCCUUGUCGGGUAAGUUCCGACCUGCACGAAUGGCGUAAUGACUUGGGGACUGUCUCAACGAAGGACUCGGCGAAAUUGCAAGCCCAGUAAAGAUGCUGGGUACCCAUAGCCGGACGAAAAGACCCCGUGAAGCUUUACUACAACUUGAUAUUGUGUUUGAACAUGCUUUGUUCAGUAUAGGUGGGAGUCCCGAGCAAUCGGGACAACAGUGAGAUACCACCCUUAGUCUGUUGAAAUACUUACCUCAUCUUGUUAUCCAAGAAAGGGACAGUAUCUGGCGGGUAGUUUGUCUGGGGCGGAUGCCUCCCAAAAAGUAACGGAGGCGUUUACUAAGGUUGGCUAUCUCGGAAUGGAAACCCGAGAGAUAGUGUAAAGGCACAAGCCAGCUUUACUGCGAGACCUGCGCGUCGAGCAGUCGCGAAAGCGGAACUUAGUGAUCCGACCGUCCAAUGUAGGAUGGCGGAAGCUCAACGGAUAAAAGCUACUCCGGGGAUAACAGGCUAGUCUUGCCCAAGCGUCCACAGCGACGGCAAGGUUCGGCACCUCGAUGUCGGCUCGUCUCAUCCUGGGGGUGGAGAAGCUCCCAAGGGUUUGGCUGUUCGCCAAUUAAAGAGGCACGCGAGCUGGGUUCAAACCGUCGUAAGACAGGUUGGUCUCCUAUCCGCUAUGGGCGUAGAAACUUGAGAAGGCCCUUCCUUAGUACGAGAGGACCGGGAAGGACGAAGCACUAGUGUGCCGGUUGUUCCACCAGGAGCAUUGCCGGGUAGCUACCUUCGGUUUGGAUAAGCGCUGAAAGCAUCUAAGCGCGAAGCCGUCUUCAAGAUUAGGUUUCAUAGACUCGUCAGAGACGAUGACGUUGAUAGGCCCUAGGUGUAAGUCCCGCAAGGGAUGUCACCCGCCCGGUAAUUCGGGCGGGUAAGCCGAGGGGUACUAAUAAGUCGUUUUACUCUUCAC